UACGGGGGGGCAAGCGUUGUUCGGAAUUCCUGGGCGUAAAGGGCUCGUAGGCGGCCCACUAAGUCAGACGUGAAAUCCCUCGGCUUAACCGGGGAACUGCGUCUGAUACUGGAUGGCUUGAGUUUGGGAGAGGGAUGCGGAAUUCCAGGUGUAGCGGUGAAAUGCGUAGAUAUCUGGAGGAACACCGGUGGCGAAGGCGGCAUCCUGGACCAACACUGACGCUGAGUGAGCGAAAGCCAGGGGAGCAAACGGG
rnacentral:rRNA from 1 species